GGGGAGGAAGAAGGGAGGAGGGGAGAGAAAGAGGGUAGAAAGGACAGGGGGAGGAAGAAGGGAGGAGGGGAGAGAAAGAGGGCAGAAAGGACAGGGGGAGGAGGGGAGGGGGAGAGAAAGAGGGCAGAAAGGACUGAGGGAGGAAGAAGGGAGGAGGGGAGAGAAAGAGGGCAGAAAGGUAUGGGGAGGAAGAAGGGGGAGGGGAAAGAGAGAAAGAGGGCAGAAAGGACAGGGGGAGGAAGAAGGGAGGAGGGGGAGAGAAAGAGGGCAGAAAGGUAUGGGGAGGAAGAAGGGGGAGGGGAGAGAAAGAGGGGCAGAAAGGUAGGGGGAGGAAGAAGGGAGGAGGGGAGAGAAAGAGGGCAGAAAGGUAUGGGGAGGAAGAAGGGAGGAAGGGAAAGAAAGAGGGCAGAAAGGUAUGGGGAGGAAGAAGGGAGGAGGGGAGAGAAAGAGGGCAGAAAGCAGGCAGAAAGGU
ensembl:lncRNA